UACGUAGGGUGCGAGCGUUGUCCGGAAUUAUUGGGCGUAAAGAGCUUGUAGGCGGUUUGUCGCGUCUGCUGUGAAAACCCGAGGCUCAACCUCGGGCCUGCAGUGGGUACGGGCAGACUAGAGUGAUGUAAGGGAGACUGGAAUUCCUGGUGUAGCGGUGAAAUGCGCAGAUAUCAGGAGGAACACCGAUGGCGAAGGCAGGUCUCUGGGCAUUAACUGACGCUGAGGAGCGAAAGCAUGGGGAGCGAACAGG
rnacentral:rRNA from 1 species